rnacentral:rRNA from 1 species
AAUGAACGCUGGCGGCAGGCCUAACACAUGCAAGUCGAACGGCAGCACAGCAGUAGCAAUACUGUGGGUGGCGAGUGGCGGACGGGUGAGGAAUACAUGGGAAUCUACCCUGUCGUGGGGGAUAACGUAGGGAAACUUACGCUAAUACCGCAUACGACCGAGAGGUGAAAGCGGCGGACCGCAAGGCGUCGCGCGAUUGGAUGAGCCCAUGUCGGAUUAGCUAGUUGGCGGGGUAAAGGCCCACCAAGGCGACGAUCCGUAGCUGGUCUGAGAGGAUGAUCAGCCACACUGGAACUGAGACACGGUCCAGACUCCUACGGGAGGCAGCAGUGGGGAAUAUUGGACAAUGGGCGCAAGCCUGAUCCAGCCAUGCCGCGUGAGUGAAGAAGGCCUUCGGGUUGUAAAGCUCUUUUGUCCGGAAAGAAAAGCCUUCGGUUAAUACCCGGGGGUGAUGACGGUACCGGAAGAAUAAGCACCGGCUAACUUCGUGCCAGCCGCCGCCGUAACAC